UAGUUCCUACAUACAGACAUUACCUUAA
rnacentral:piRNA from 1 species